rnacentral:rRNA from 1 species
AACGAACGCUGGCGGCAUGCCUAACACAUGCAAGUCGAACGAGACCUUCGGGUCUAGUGGCGCACGGGUGCGUAACGCGUGGGAAUCUGCCCUUGGGUUCGGAAUAACAGUUAGAAAUGACUGCUAAUACCGGAUAAUGUCUUCGGACCAAAGAUUUAUCGCCCAGGGAUGAGCCCGCGUAGGAUUAGCUAGUUGGUGAGGUAAAGGCUCACCAAGGCGACGAUCCUUAGCUGGUCUGAGAGGAUGAUCAGCCACACUGGGACUGAGACACGGCCCAGACUCCUACGGGAGGCAGCAGUGGGGAAUAUUGGACAAUGGGCGAAAGCCUGACCCAGCAAUGCCGCGUGAGUGAUGAAGGCCUUAGGGUUGUAAAGCUCUUUUACCCGGGAUGAUAAUGACAGUACCGGGAGAAUAAGCCCCGGCUAACUCCGUGCCAGCAGCCGCGGUAAU